CAGUCGCCGCGGGAAUACGGAGGGAGCUAGCGUUGUUCGGAAUUACUGGGCGUAAAGCGCACGUAGGCGGCUUUGUAAGUUAGAGGUGAAAGCCUGGAGCUCAACUCCAGAAUUGCCUUUAAGACUGCAUCGCUUGAAUCCAGGAGAGGUGAGUGGAAUUCCGAGUGUAGAGGUGAAAUUCGUAGAUAUUCGGAAGAACACCAGUGGCGAAGGCGGCUCACUGGACUGGUAUUGACGCUGAGGUGCGAAAGCGUGGGGAGCAAACAGGAUUAGAGACCCCCGUAGUCCCUGUCUCUUAUAC
rnacentral:rRNA from 1 species